CUGCCCAGUGGAUGCUACCAUUUUCACUCCCUGUAAGCGAUAACAAGGAGGCACAGGCGUGGGAGGAAUUGAUCCAUUGUGUGACAUCAUGGGACCUCCUCCGUGUCUUUCAACACACUCAAGCGUUCCAUCCCUGCUAUAAAACUGUAAAAGCCUCACCUGGAUUAAUUCAAACAGGAAUAACCUGUCGGGUUGCUUCCCCCCACCCCACCCUGUUCACCAAGGGAGGCAUCUUGGCUACUCCAUUAGGUACUACAUCAGGUAGGAGGAUCUGGUCGGUCAUCUUCACUGAGACAUGUGCAUGCGUCGAGGCUCGCCCACAGCUGGGCUUCCCAAGAGGUUUUAGGCCAUGGCUGUCUGGCUGCAUUGCUGUGUGCCUGAGGUAAGACUGAGCGUCAUGGAGGGGACCGUGGCGGAACAAAGCUGCUUACCUCUCAGGGGCAGUGAGCAGAAAGGGCCUCCUGCAUUCCUAGUGGGGAGACCCUUUCGGAUGCUUUCAUGGGACUGGAGAGACGGCCCAGUGGUUAGAGCACCUGCUUCUCUUCCAAGAGGGUCAGAAGUCUGUCCCCAGCGAAGUCCGUCCCCAGCACCCACAUCAGACAGCUCACGAUCACUGGUAACUCCAGCUCCAAGGAA